UACGAAGGGGGCUAGCGUUGCUCGGAAUCACUGGGCGUAAAGGGUGCGUAGGCGGGUCUUUAAGUCGGGCGUGAAAUCCCUGGGCUCAACCCAGGAACUGCACUCGAAACUACUUUUCUUGAGUGCCGGAGAGGAAAGCGGAAUUCCUGGUGUAGCGGUGAAAUGCGCAGAUAUCAGGAGGAACACCUAUUGCGAAGGCAGCUCGCUGGGACGUAACUGACGCUGAGACGCGAAAGCGUGGGGAGCAAACAGG
rnacentral:rRNA from 1 species